UACAGAGGGUGCGAGCGUUAAUCGGAAUUACUGGGCGUAAAGGGCGCGUAGGCGGAAGAUUAAGUUAGAUGUGAAAUUCCUGGGCUUAACCUAGGGACUGCAUUUAAUACUGGUUUUCUAGAGUAGAGUAGAGGGAAGUGGAAUUUCCGGUGUAGCGGUGAAAUGCGUAGAUAUCGGAAAGAACACCAGUGGCGAAGGCGGCUUUCUGGACUCAUACUGACGCUGAGGCGCGAAAGCGUGGGGAGCAAACAGG
rnacentral:rRNA from 1 species